AAUAUAUUAAGUUUGCCACGAAGUUUAUAACAUCUAAAAGGAAGCGUGCGUCAGAGACCGUAUAAAGUAUAUACAGCGUUUACCAAUAGAGAUGACAUGAUUUUGACAGCUCGUGGUGGCCAUGUUUGUUUGUGGAUUUGUAUCAAGUUAUGUCAGUGUAAUCAGUAAGGUUUGCCAUUUCAUUAUGUAAUGUUUCACUUUGGUACAAUACUUGGAAAUUGUUCAAAAUUAUUACGCAAAAUCACGUUCAUCGAAAAAUCAUCUUCUCAGAUCAAGCCCAUUUCUGACUUAAUGGCUUCGCCAACAAACAAAAUUGCAGGAAACCAUUAAAAGCGAGCUAUAUAUCGGUAACGUUGUUGACCGACUUUUUCCCCCGUAAUUGAUGAAAUCGACGCGGACGAUCUCUAAUUUCAACAAGACGGUAUGCCUUCUCAUGUGUUUCGUUGUAACAUGGACACAUUGCGUGCAAAAUUUGGCGACGGCUUAAGCUACUUAAAAACACAGACGUAGAACGUCCUGGGCGAUGAAGAUUGUUGCCCAACAAAGGAGAGCUUGCAGAAGUUUUGGGUGUCACUCAAACCGCCAUUUCAAAACGUUGAAAAACAGCUGUUUAAAUUGGGUUCAAUAGGAAAUGAAGCAAAGAGAUGUUGAAAGACAAUUGAUGUUUUAACGCUAGACCAACCGCUAGGUCAACCAGCCAAAACAACGGCAAAGCCGAAUAUCCAUGAUGCCAAGGAAAUUAUGAGCUUCUGAAAUCGGGUACAACUAUUAAUAAGGAAAGCUACCAACGACAAAUGAUCAAACUCAAGCGAGCGAUUGGCGAAAAAUGCCCUGAAUUCGGCACUAGAUGCGAGGCAAUAAUUUUUCAUCACGCUUGGUUGAAAAGCUAUUUAGAGAAAAGCGUCUGGGAAAGUUUGCCUCAUCCGCCUUAUAGACCAGAACUUGUCUCUUCUGAGUACCAUUUCUUCCGGUCUUUCUCACUGGAAUACGGUUCACAUCACAACAGGGAUCAAAAAUUGGUUUAAUUCAUUCUUGGCCGCCGAGGUGGCGCAAUUCUUUUGGCAGAUACUAUAACUUUAGAUGGGAAUACUUUGAACAAUACUAUAUAUAGUACAUUUUUUCGAUGAAUAUACAUAGUUAUAGACCCAAUGUAAGGGUUUCGGAUUGUAAAAACAUACAAGUUCCUGGAAACAAAUUCCAUUGUUUUCAAUAAUGUAAAGCCAAUAAAACGCUAAAUUAACAAACAAGGCAACGAAGCGUAACGAAAAUUUGAGAAACAAAUAAAAAGAAGAGAACACAGACUGCCUAACCGAUCUGGUACGCAAAGCUAGCAUUAAUUGUUCAGGAGUGGCCGAGCCGCUAACACUUUGACAGCGCUUGUAAGCGUGUAUGUAACAUAGGCAAUAAUAUGCAUACACAUAUGUACAAUAACAAUAAAAUGUCUGGUGAUCCAAUGCAUCCAUAGUCCACUGCGAAUAUCAACUCUGGCUGUAACUUUUACACGCCAGUUGAACGUACUGUUUAUGUUUACUUACACGUACAAAUAUACAUAGAUACAUUUGUAUCUAACAUACACAUACUUAUGUAUAAUGUAAGUAUAUUGAUACGAGACCUUCAGACCAUUUAAAGCACAUACCCAUUUAACUUCGUAAACAUGGAAAAUGUAUAAAUUGAUGCAAGUGCCUGUGUGUAUUUAUAGGGUAUAUGUGAAAAGUUUUAUUACUAUUUGUUUGUUUGUUUGAGGCGCAACAGUCAAAAUAGAUGUUUUAAGAAACCACAAAAGAAAGAUAAUAGAUGUUUAGAUAAUUGAGCAUUGGAGCGUGAUCUGAAUGCUAAAGAAUUCGUUUGAAAAUUUUCGUACUUAGAAAACAGACAAAUUUCAACACUUGACACUCAAAACAGCCGGUACGAAAUUUUGCUUUAUAGCUUUGUACGUACCUAGUUGUUCUUAGCCCAUCUACAAUAUAAUUAAAAGCAACAAAUCUCGUUAAUUUUGGUUGGAGCGAAGCCAUAAUACCUUUCACAGGUGCAU